UGUGGUUCUUGCAGGAGCCUCAUGAC
rnacentral:piRNA from 1 species